AGCGAACGCUGGCGGCAGGCUUAACACAUGCAAGUCGAACGGGCAUCUUCGGAUGUCAGUGGCAGACGGGUGAGUAACACGUGGGAACGUACCCUUCGGUUCGGAAUAACUCAGGGAAACUUGAGCUAAUACCGGAUACGCCCUUUUGGGGAAAGGUUUACUGCCGAAGGAUCGGCCCGCGUCUGAUUAGCUUGUUGGUGGGGUAACGGCCUACCAAGGCGACGAUCAGUAGCUGGUCUGAGAGGAUGAUCAGCCACACUGGGACUGAGACACGGCCCAGACUCCUACGGGGGGCAGCAGUGGGGAAUAUUGGACAAUGGGCGCAAGCCUGAUCCAGCCAUGCCGCGUGAGUGAUGAAGGCCUUAGGGUUGUAAAGCUCUUUUGUCCGGGACGAUAAUGACGGUACCGGAAGAAUAAGCCCCGGCUAACUUCGUG
rnacentral:rRNA from 1 species